GACGAACGCUGGCGGCGUGCCUAAUACAUGCAAGUCGAACGCAGUGGGGACGGGUGAGUAACACGUGGGUAACCUCCCUUCAGAGGGGAUAACACUUGGAAACAGGUGCUAAACCGAUACUGUCGGAUGGACCCGCGGUGCAUUAGCUAGUUGGUGAGGUAACGGCACACCAAGGCCACGAUGCAUAGCCGACCUGAGAGGGUGAUCGGCAACACUGGGACUGAGAAACGGCCCAGACUCAUACGGGAGGCAGCAGUAGGGAAUCUUAGGCAAUGGACGAAAGUCGGACCGGGAAACGCCGCGUGAGGGAAGAGGGUGUUCGGAUCGUAAAACUCUGUUAUUAGAGAAGCGGUAUCUAACCAGAAAGCCACGGCUAACUACGUGCCAGCAGCCGCGGUAAUUC
rnacentral:rRNA from 1 species